rnacentral:rRNA from 1 species
UUCCGUAGGUGAACCUGCGGAAGGAUCAUUACCUUCUAGUUAUUUUGACUGGCUCGGGGGCCGGCUUUGCGAGGUCCCAAAAGGACCCCUGCCGCCCCGGCUGCAUCCUUGUCUAUUGCGUACUACAUGUUUCCUCGGUAGGCUUGCCUGCCGGUCGGACAACCAUUAAACUCUUUUGUAAUUGCAAUCAGCGUCUGAAAAUAAUUUAAUUAUUACAACUUUCAACAACGGAUCUCUUGGUUCUGGCAUCGAUGAAGAACGCAGCGAAAUGCGAUAAGUAGUGUGAAUUGCAGAAUUCAGUGAAUCAUCGAAUCUUUGAACGCACAUUGCGCCCCUUGGUAUUCCAUGGGGCAUGCCUGUUCGAGCGUCAUUUGUACCUUCAAGCUUUGCUUGGUGAUGGGUGUUUGUCCUGUCCUUUGUGACUGGACUCGCCUCAAAAUUAUUGGCAGCCGGCAUAUUGGCCUUUGGAGCGCAGCACAUUUUGCGAUCUAAGCCUCUAUACUGGUAUCCAUAAAGCCUCUUUAUCACUUUUGACCUCGGAUCAGGUAGGGAUACCCGCUGAAC